CUAAGUUUGGAUUUCUGGAUUUACUUUCGUCUAAUCUUUCCUCGGUCUGUCUUAUCGUCUUACUCUCAAAGUCUUGAAACUCUCUAAACUCUUCGAACGCGAGAAUAACGCUACAUGGCUGCUGAGUGGCACAUAUCUUUUUGGAGAAAAAUACUGCUUGUGAGUCUGAAGAGCAUCUGUAAAGUUUUUACUUUUGCUUCUCUGACUUUAUCUGUUUUCUUCUCUAGUCAUGUACUCCCAGAUGAACAAGAGGUCAGCACACACAAGCGGAGAAACUUUCCCCCUGCUGGAUAAAGUCCAAACCUCCUCCCCGACCAAAAUGACAGGUCUUGAAUGC